GUGUCAGCAGCCGCGCGGUAAUACGUAGGUGGCAAGCGUUAUCCGGAAUUAUUGGGCGUAAAGCGCGCGCAGGUGGUUUCUUAAGUCUGAUGUGAAAGCCCACGGCUCAACCGUGGAGGGUCAUUGGAAACUGGGAGACUUGAGUGCAGAAGAGGAAAGUGGAAUUCCAUGUGUAGCGGUGAAAUGCGUAGAGAUAUGGAGGAACACCAGUGGCGAAGGCGACUUUCUGGUCUGUAACUGACACUGAGGCGCGAAAGCGUGGGGAGUAAACAGGAUUAGAUACCCUGGUAGUCCACGCCGUAAACGAUGAGUGCUAAGUGUUAGAGGGUUUCCGCCCUUUAGUGCUGAAGUUAACGCAUUAAGCACUCCGCCUGGGGAGUACGGCCGCAAGGCUGAAACUCAAAGGAAUUGACGGGGGCCCGCACAAGCGGUGGAGCAUGUGGUUUAAUUCGAAGCAACGCGAAGAACCUUACCAGGUCUUGACAUCCUCUGAAAACCCUAGAGAUAGGGCUUCUCCUUCGGGAGCAGAGUGACAGGUGGUGCAUGGUUGUCGUCAGCUCGUGUCGUGAGAUGUUGGGUUAAGUCCCGCAACGAGCGCAACCCUUGAUCUUAGUUGCCAUCAUUAAGUUGGGCACUCUAAGGUGACUGCCGGUGACAAACCGGAGGAAGGUGGGGAUGACGUCAAAUCAUCAUGCCCCUUAUGACCUGAGCUACACACGUGCUACAAUGGACGGUACAAAGAGCUGCAAGACCGCGAGGUGGAGCUAAUCUCAUAAAACCGUUCUCAGUUCGGAUUGUAGCUGCAACUCGCCUACAUGAAGCUGGAAUCGCUAGUAAUCGCGGAUCAGCAUGCCGCGUGAAUACGUUCCCGGGCCUUGCACACACCGCCCGUCAAUCCAUAUGACUAG
rnacentral:rRNA from 1 species